rnacentral:rRNA from 1 species
AAGUCGAGGGGAAACGACAUUGAAGCUUGCUUCGAUGGGCGUCGACCGGCGCACGGGUGAGUAACGCGUAUCCAACCUGCCUCUGACUAAGGGAUAACCCGGCGAAAGUCGGACUAAUACCUUAUGAGGUUUUCAGCAGACAUCUAAUGAAAACGAAAGAUUUAUCGGUCAGUGAUGGGGAUGCGUCUGAUUAGCUUGUUGGCGGGGUAACGGCCCACCAAGGCAACGAUCAGUAGGGGUUCUGAGAGGAAGGUCCCCCACAUUGGAACUGAGACACGGUCCAAACUCCUACGGGAGGCAGCAGUGAGGAAUAUUGGUCAAUGGGCGAGAGCCUGAACCAGCCAAGUAGCGUGCAGGAUGACGGCCCUAUGGGUUGUAAACUGCUUUUAUGUGGGGAUAAAGUGAGCUACGUGUAGUUUAUUGCAGGUACCACAUGAAUAAGGACCGGCUAAUUCCGUGCCAGCAGCCGCGGUAAUACGGAAGGUCCAGGCGUUAUCCGGAUUUAUUGGGUUUAAAGGGAGCGUAGGCCGUGGAUUAAGCGUGUUGUGAAAUGUAGACGCUCAACGUCUGAAUUGCAGCGCGAACUGGUUCACUUGAGUAUGCACAACGUAGGCGGAAUUCGUCGUGUAGCGGUGAAAUGCUUAGAUAUGACGAAGAACCCCGAUUGCGAAGGCAGC